rnacentral:lncRNA from 1 species
UGUAUGUAUGUAUGUAUGUAUGUAUAUAUAUCCGUCUUUAACGUAACCUCGCCGCCCAGGAAAAACCAUCAAAAAACUUUACUAAAGAAAAUUGAUAUGGAAACCUGUGUUCGGAGCAAGUGCAAGGCACGCCUCGGGACAUUGAUGCCAAACUCCAUCACAAGAAAAAACAGCAAAAUAAUAUACAAUAUCAAAUAUUAUGAAACAUUGAAGUUUAGUGUUGAACGUCUGCGGCUAGAAUGAUUUUCAAACACAUGAAAAUUAAAAACCCGCUUUCACCACAAUCCAAAUGAUUGGUCCACGUAACCACGUGUACAACUACACAUAACAAAACCCGCCAAAAA